UAUGUAGGUGGUUAAGUAAGUCGAGCGUGAAAUCCAUUGGCUCAACCAAUGAAUUGCACUCGAAACUGCAUAACUUGAGUUCAGGAGAGGAAAGCGGAAUUCCCGGUGUAAGAGUGAAAUCUGUAGAGAUCGGGAGGAACACCAGUGGCGAAGGCGGCUUUCUGGACUGAUACUGACACUGAAAUACGAAAGCUAGGGGAGCAAACAGGAUUAGAUACCCUGGUAGUCC
rnacentral:rRNA from 1 species